rnacentral:rRNA from 1 species
CGACUCCUACGGGGCGCAGCAGUGAGGAAUAUUGGUCAAUGGUCGGGAGACUGAACCAGCCAAGCCGCGUGAGGGAGGAAGGUACAGAGUAUCGUAAACCUCUUUUGUCAGGGAACAAAGACUGGGACGCGUCCCCGGAUGAGUGUACCUGAAGAAAAAGCAUCGGCUAACUCCGUGCCAGCAGCCGCGGUAAUACGGAGGAUGCGAGCGUUAUCCGGAUUUAUUGGGUUUAAAGGGUGCGCAGGCGGUCUGUUAAGUCAGCGGUCAAAGCCCGGGGCUCAACCCCGGCCCGCCGUUGAAACUGG